rnacentral:rRNA from 1 species
AUGGAUCCCUCGCCCGAUCCGCUCGCCGCCUCCGCCCCAUUCCCCACCAUCCCCGCCGCCACCCACAGGUCGCGGGUCGCCCGCCCGCGGCGCCAGGCCGCCCCCUUUCGUUCCGACCACCCCGGAGCCUCCUGCUCCCCCAGCCGGCGCCUCGGCGGCGAUCUCUCGAGCUUCGCUGCGGGCGCUGGCUCGCGACCGAGCACCGCAGGCGGAUCACGCCCCUCGGCCUUCGUCUUCGGCGCGGAAACGUCUAGCCGCGCCGUCGCGGAGGAUCCGGCGUCGGCGGGCUCAUGGGGUUCUUCCCGUGGCGCUAAUUUUGUUUUUGGGAGUGGCGUCUCGGCGAGAUCGGAGAUGAAGAGAUGCUCCUCGGUUAGAUCCGGUGCUGCCUCGUUGUGCAGCCUCUCUACAGCAGCCGAUGAGCUUGUACAAGAUGAUUCUUCCGGCAAGCAAAGAGAUGACCGUGCUCACGUUUCUAGAGGAAAUGAUUCCGUGCUGGAGAUAAAUUCUCGGGGUACUUUUGGUGCCUCGGAAAGCAAUUUGAAGUCACAUGAGGUUUUUCGUCCGCGCAUUCUUCAUGGUGUUGCCAAGCAGCGCGAUGAGGGGCGUAGCAUGCUCUCUCAGACGGUAGGGUGCAAGAGUACGGAAAUAAAUUCAUCAUUAGUUGGUCAAGUGGUCAAUGCAACAAAAUGUACUGACAGGAAUGACUCCAUGGAAGUCCCCGUGGACUGUGGUAACUCAUCCGUAGGAGAUUCUGUCGGUAAAGUUUACUUCACAAAGGAUGGAAGCAAACUUUCUGCAACUGGUGUUAAUGUCAAACAUGAUUUGUUUGUUUUCGGGGGACCUGCUAGUGCUCAACAUAGUCUGUUCGCUGCAAAUACAGAGCAAAGUAAUUUCAAGAAGUUGGAUUCAUCUGAUAAAGAGGAGGUAACAUGCAGUUCUGAACAACUUGGUCUUUCAGAACAUUCCAGACUUUGUCAAGUCCAUGAAACAGAAAAAGCCUCGAAAACUGCACCUUUUAGCAUUGGAGCUCAAGAUGACAUUGUGAAGGCUUCUUUCACAAAGUUGCCUGAUGGUAUGCAAACACAAGUAGGUGCAGCAUCGGGACUUGGUGAAUGUCGAUCUUUCGAUGAGAGAUCAUUUACUCUACAGGACCACAAUUCAGCAUCUGGAGACAAGGGAGUGAUUAAGGCUAUGAGCAUGAAUAGAAGGGCAGUUAAACCAAAGAAGUUUUCCUCAACCCGUCAGGUUUCUUCAUUGCGGAAUGUCCUUGCAGCUGACAGUUUUUCUGGAAAAGUGACUCCGGAAACAAACUUUAGUAUGGAACAAUCUGGAAAAGUUGGCCUCAGGUUAGAGGGUUCUGUUAACAGUGGCCCAGAGGUAGCUGAUGCUACGCAAACAGCAGAAAGUAGCCAUGAUGGAACUGGGCUUACUUUUGCAGCAAACUUGGAAAGUUGUGGUAACUCUGACUUAAUAUUUGCUUCAUCUACUUUCGAUCGAAGUAAUUUGGGCUCACAAAGACAACAGAAUAGAAGUUCUGAAGGAAUGACGACUCAUACUAACUUUGUUCAAAGCCUUCCUACAUCUGCCAUUAGUUUUGCACACACAAAAGUUUCAGCAAGCCAGCCAGACACAGUUUUAGCGCCUCAAUGGACCGAAUACAGCAAAGCAGAAUCUACAGUAGUAACAUGUCCAAAAACAGGAAACUUUAGAUAUCAGGAGGAUUGUGAAACUUGGCGUAUAAGGGGGAACCAAGCUUAUGCUGCAGGACAGUUAGCUAAGGCGGAGGAAUGCUAUACCCAUGGGAUUAAUUCUGUUUCUCAAAAUCAAGCUUCUCAGAAAGCAUUAAUGCUGUGCUACAGCAAUCGUGCAGCUACCCGGAUAUCUCUCGGUAGGAUGAGAGAUGCCCUCUCUGAUUGUCAGAAAGCUACUGAAAUUGAUUCCAGCUUUCUCAAGGCACAAGUCAGAGCUGCCAAUUGUCUACUUGCUCUGGGGGAUGUCGACGAAGCACAAAAGGGUUUUGAAAUCUGUUUGAAGUCUAAUCAUGCGGCAAGCUUGGAUCGUAAAGUCAUAGAAGAGGCUUCUGAUGGUCUACAAAAAGCUCAGAAAGUAUCCACUUUCAUGCUUCAAUCCAAGGAAUAUCUUGUUAAAAAGGAAUUUGACAAGAUACCAAGUGCCUUACAAAUGAUCACAGAUGCUUUGUCCAUAAGCAUUCAUUCAGAUAACUUGAUGAAAAUGAAAGCAGAAGCCCUGUUACUGUUGCGGCGAUAUGAAGAAUUAAUUCAGUUUUGUGAAGAAACUCUGCAACUGGCAGAAAGAAAUAGUGUGCCUCUGUGUCUUGAUGAGCAUCUAGAAAACAUUAACUUGGACAGCUACGGGUUUUCUGUGAAAUCUUGGCGCUAUUAUCUUAUCGCCAAGUCAUAUUUCUUCAUAGGAAAACUUGAAGAGGCUCAUCAGUUCUUGAAAAAGUACGAGCAAACAACACCUGCAGAAUACAAGUGCGGGAAGCAGUCUCAACAAUCAGUUUCAUUACUUUCGAAGACAAUCUCUGAACUACUGCGUCUUAAAGUUGCUGGGAAUGAAGCUUUUCAAGCUGGUAAAUAUUCAGAGGCUGUGGAACAUUAUACUGCUGCUUUGUUGAGCAACGCGGAGUCAUUACAUUUUUCAGCAAUCUGUUUUGGCAACCGUGCGGCUGCAUACCAAACAAUGGGCCAAAUUUUAGAUGCCAUAGCAGAUUGUUCGCUAGCUAUAGCCCUUGACACUAGCUAUUGUAAGGUUAUUUCUAGAAGGGCUAGUUUGUAUGAACUUAUAAGGGACUACGAUCAGGCAGAAAAUGAUCUUCGAAGACUAAUUUCUCUUCUUGAGGAACAACUACAAGAAAAUAUGUCCAUGCCAUCAGAAAAAUUAGAUAAUGUUCGUAACAAUCUACACCGAGCCAAUCUUAGGCUUUCUGCUUUGGAGCGUGAUGCCAGAAAAAGGACAUCACUGAAUAUGUAUCUGAUAUUAGGAAUUGAGCCAUCCUGCUCUGCUGUGGAUAUAAAAAGAGCAUACCGCAAAGCAGCAUUAAGGCAUCAUCCAGACAAAGCAGGUAAUUUUCUCGUGAGAAGUGAAAAUAUCGAUGAUACAGUAUGGAGCGAAAUUGUGAAUGCGAUCCGCAGAGAUGCUGAUUAUUUGUUCAAAAUAAUUGGGAAAGCAUAUGCUAUACUUUCGGACCCUACCAUGAGACCGCUGUUUACGGCAGUUUCAGCAAAAUUAAUACUGAAGUAUCAAUCAAUUAACUUAAGAAACUCGAACCUCCAAGGUAAGUUCUUAGAAUUCUGUGUGGAGCCGUGGACUCAAAGGAGUCUGUAUGGUUUGCCUGGGUGGGAAUCUGAACUUGAAAGUGGAAUCAAGUUUAUGGGGUAA